AUCAAUAUAUUCACUCUAAAGGGUCCUCUGAAUACACAGAAAACUCAUGCAUCCUUCUUUUCUGGCAUUUAUAAUAGAAAACACACAUAGAAUCCCAAAGAUACCUUAAAAAUGGAGUUUGAAUCUAGAGCUGUUCUUUGUUGUUAGUGUGUUUUGUUACUGCUGUUUUCUGGGUUGUUGAGCUCUAUUUCCUAUGGUUUUUAUGACUUUUAUUUGGUCCCCAAUACUCUGAUUUCUACUCUAAUUACUGGUGGAAGCUGAUUUUCUAUUUUCUUUUCUCCAAAGUCAGAGGCAUAUUUCUUACUAUCUGUUGUACCUGUGACUGUUAAGGUAUUGAUUUCAUUCUCAUCAAAUGUAAUAGUUUUUGGAAUGCCAUAAAUAUCAUCAGAUUUGCAACUUUGGAUUGAUUACAUACUUGUUAAAUGUUCUACCCGUUAAUCUGGUAAUAUAUGGGUUGUUUGAAUAUUUUCUACCAUGUCUACUUUCUAACAAAACCGAGUCUGAUAUUUCAGCAUAUAACAGUAAUAUAACUAUGAGCUUGUUUGUUAAUGUUGUGUUAAUCAUGGAUUUUUGGUUGCAUUAGUUUGAGCACUUAAGGUGAAGUAACAUUGAUAUUUCCAGUUUGAUUUAAAGCAUCAGAUGUGUUGAAUGUUUCAAACCUUAAUGGAGGAGGAAACAAUGCUUUAAAAUCAGUUCUUUCUUUUAGCCUUGGAGUGUUAAAAUACAUUUGAAGUUCUGAAAAUUCCCUAAAUGUUUAAGAUUUAGAAGUUUUGGCAGCAUUCUCUUGUGUGUAAAGCCUUCCCCAUUUGGAAAUCACUUUGUCUUGGGUAUUAUUGGUAUUUGGUAAUGCAGGAGUUUGUAAGUGCUUGGCAUGAGGUACAGAUUUACAAAUCUAGCCACUGAUUGAUUAGCCGUUUGUGAAUGAUAGGCAACUUCAAGAACAUGGCAAAAAAUUAUUGCUAAGUUGAUCACUAGGCAGAUUCAAAAUUAAUUCGAUUUCAGCCUAUACAGAUUACUUUUCUUAAUUUAGUUCAAGGCCUGUAAUUAUUUGUAAAAAUGCAAUGAAGCUAUUCAUUA
rnacentral:lncRNA from 1 species